rnacentral:rRNA from 2 species
AAUACAUUUUUACCAAUACUGUGAACAAACCAGAGUGUAUAAAACAUGUAAUAUAUUAUAUAUUUAGCAAUGAAUGUUUUAUCAUGGAAUAUUGCUUUUUAAUAUAAUAUCGAUGGAGAUAGUUGGAGUUAAGAGUACUGAUAGGCGAGCGGUGAAAUGCAUUGACCCUAUUAAGACUAACAAAAGCGAAAGCACUUAACUAGAUUAUUCUCUUUGUAUUAUUACAAUGAAGAGCGAAGGUUGGGGGAACAAAGAGGAUCAGAUACCCUCGUAGUCCUAUUUUUACAUCAAACUAUGGGAUUUCAAUCACAAAUAAAAAACCAAAUAUAAUUGAGUAUAUAAUUAUUUACUCUUAUAUUUAAUAUAUAUUAUUGAUUAUAUGUACUUUGAGCUCAUAUAAUUAUAUAGGUGAGAUGUAAGCAUUAUAGGUGAAUAAUAUAUAAGUAAUAUUAUAUUAUUAUGAUCCUUAUUUAUAAAAAUGUAAUGUGAUG